rnacentral:rRNA from 1 species
UACUAGGAGGCAGCAGCGUUCGGUGAAUUAUUGGGCGUAAAGCGCGUGUAGGCGGCUUUGCAAGUCGGGUGUGAAAGCCCUCAGCUCAACUGAGGAAGUGCGCCCGAAACUGCAGAGCUUGAGUGCCGGAGAGGGUGGCGGAAUUCCCCAAGUAGAGGUGAAAUUCGUAGAUAUGGGGAGGAACACCGGUGGCGAAGGCGGCCACCUGGACGGUAACUGACGCUGAGACGCGAAAGCGUGGGGAGCAAACAGG